GAUGCAACGCGAAAAACCUUACCCACCUUUGACAUGUACGGAACUCGCCAGAGAUGGCUUGGUGCUCGAAAGAGAACCGUAACACAGGUGCUGCAUGGCUGUCGUCAGCUCGUGUCGUGAGAUGUUGGGUUAAGUCCCGCAACGAGCGCAACCCUUGUCAUUAGUUGCUACAUUUAGUUGGGCACUCUAAUGAGACUGCCGGUGACAAACCGGAGGAAGGUGGGGAUGACGUCAAGUCCUCAUGGCCCUUAUAGGUGGGGCUACACACGUCAUACAAUGGCUGGUACAAAGGGUUGCCAACCCGCGAGGGGGAGCUAAUCCCAUAAAACCAGUCGUAGUCCGGAUCGCAGUCUGCAACUCGACUGC
rnacentral:rRNA from 1 species